AUUGAACGCUGGCGGCAGGCCUAACACAUGCAAGUCGAGCGGAUGAAGGGAGCUUGCUCCUGGAUUCAGCGGCGGACGGGUGAGUAAGCCUAGGAAUCUGCCUGGUAGUGGGGGAUAACGUCCGGAAACGGGCGCUAAUACCGCAUACGUCCUGAGGGAGAAAGUGGGGGAUCUUCGGACCUCACGCUAUCAGAUGAGCCUAGGUCGGAUUAGCUAGUUGGUGGGGUAAAGGCCUACCAAGGCGACGAUCCGUAACUGGUCUGAGAGGAUGAUCAGUCACACUGGAACUGAGACACGGUCCAGACUCCUACGGGAGGCAGCAGUGGGGAAUAUUGGACAAUGGGCGAAAGCCUGAUCCAGCCAUGCCGCGUGUGUGAAGAAGGUCUUCGGAUUGUAAAGCACUUUAAGUUGGGAGGAAGGGCAGUAAGUUAAUACCUUGCUGUUUUGACGUUACCAACAGAAUAAGCACCGGCUAACUUCGUG
rnacentral:rRNA from 1 species